AUUGAACGCUAGCGGGAUGCUUUACACAUGCAAGUCGAACGAGUGGCGGACGGGUGAGUAAUAUAUCGGACCGUGCCCAGUAGGGGGGGAUAACUACUCAAAAGAGUGGCUAAUACCGCAUACUCUUGGGGCGGCCGAUAGCGGAUUAGCUAGGUGGUGGGGUAAAGGCUCACCAAGGCAACGAUCCGUAGCUGGUUUGAGAGGAAGACCAGCCACACUGGGACUGAGACACGGCCCAGACUCCUACGGGAGGCAGCAGUGGGGAAUUUUGGACAAUGGGGGAAACCCUGAUCCAGCCAUGCCGCGUGUAUGAGAAGGCCUUCGGGUUGUAAAGUACUUUUGGCAGAGAAGCGGUAUCUGCAGAAUAAGCACCGGCUAACUACGUGCCAGCAGCCGCGGUAAUUC
rnacentral:rRNA from 1 species